AUUUUCCAGUUGUAUUUAUUGAAUGUGUAGUUGGACCAAUGUAAAUACUGUAUGUAUAUAGUAGAAAAUGUCAGUGCACCUUUUUGUGUAUAAUAAAGACCCAAUUUCUUCUCCAAUGCUCUAUUCCUCAAAUUUGCCUAAUUAAAGGGAUUGUGUCAUAAUUUU